GACGAACGCUGGCGGCGUGCUUAACACAUGCAAGUCGAACGGAAAGGCCCUGCUUUUGUGGGGUGCUCGAGUGGCGAACGGGUGAGUAACACGUGAGUAACCUGCCCUUGACUUUGGGAUAACUUCAGGAAACUGGGGCUAAUACCGGAUAGGAGCUCCUGCUGCAUGGUGGGGGUUGGUAAGUUUCGGCGGUUGGGGAUGGACUCGCGGCUUAUCAGCUUGUUGGUGGGGUAGUGGCUUACCAAGGCUUUGACGGGUAGCCGGCCUGAGAGGGUGACCGGCCACAUUGGGACUGAGAUACGGCGCAGACUGCUACGGGAGGCAGCAGUGGGGAAUAUUGCACAAUGGGCGGAAGCCUGAGGCAGCAACGCCGCGUGCGGGAUGACGGCCUUCGGGGUGUAAACCGCUGUCGCCUGUGACGAAGCGUGAGUGACGGUAAUGGGUAAAGAAGCACCGGCUAACUACGUG
rnacentral:rRNA from 1 species